rnacentral:rRNA from 1 species
GAUGAACGCUAGCGGGAGGCCUAACACAUGCAAGCCGAGCGGUAUUUAUUCUUCGGAAUAGAGAGAGCGGCGUACGGGUGCGGAACACGUGUGCAACCUGCCUUUAUCAGGGGGAUAGCCUUUCGAAAGGAAGAUUAAUACCCCAUAAUAUAUUGAUUGGCAUCAAUUGAUAUUGAAAACUCCGGUGGAUAAAGAUGGGCACGCGCAAGAUUGGAUAGUUGGUGAGGUAACGGCUCACCAAGUCGAUGAUCUUUAGGGGGCCUGAGAGGGUGAUCCCCCACACUGGUACUGAGACACGGACCAGACUCCUACGGGAGGCAGCAGUGAGGAAUAUUGGACAAUGGGUGAGAGCCUGAUCCAGCCAUCCCGCGUGAAGGACGACGGUUCUAUGGAUUGUAAACUUCUUUUAUAUAGGGAUAAACCUACUUACGUGUAAGUAGCUGAAGGUACUAUAUGAAUAAGCACCGGCCAACUCCGUGCCAGCCGCCGCCGUAA